CAUUUUUAUGAAAAGUAACUGUUUUUCUAAAUAAAAUAAUGUAUGAAAAGAGUGGUAUUGUUUUAUAUUUUUGCAAAUCUCUUUAAUAUCUGACUUAACAGAAAGCAGCAAGAUUCUCAUAUCUGCUUCAUAUAUACCCAUUGUCACACAGAUAUGUAGUUGGAAAUGAGUCUUCUUUGAUAUGGCAUCAAAUUUCAAUAAGUGGUAAUUUGUUUACUUUACAGACAGGGUCUUGCUAUGUCGCCCAAGCUGAAGUUCAGCGGCUAUUCACAGGCACGAUCAUAGCAACAACCUCAAAUUCCUGGGCUCAAGUGAUCCUCCUGCCUCAGCCUCUCAAAUAGCCGAGACUACAGAGAACCCCUCACACUGCUGCCCUCGAGAGACCCCCGCCGUGGCUCUGACCGGGAAUCCCUCUCCUUCCCUCCCCUCAGGAGACCUUCCCUUCACACAGCCUUCACCUCCGGAAGAGCCCUCAAUUCACACAACCCCAUUCUUCCUCAAACUCUCAGGGAUUGGCACCCGGCUGCCUUUUGCGGAGCCGCAAAGGACCCUCAGCCUCCCCCACCUCCGUCAUCGGGUUCUGGGGACCCCUCUCACCUCCGCGGUGAGAGAUGUGUUUACUGAGGAAUCGCUGCUUCUUUCUCUGGUGCAGCAAGGUCGGGUAUUUAAGCAACAAGAAUGAGGUCACC
rnacentral:lncRNA from 10 species